UCGUAAUUGACAAAAACCCAUCCUCCCCAAAAUCAUUUACAUCAUCUCUGUCGUCUCCGACCAAUCCAACCUCUGUCUUCUUUCCGGUGGCGCUUGAAGUGGCCGGCGAAUUCUAGCAAAAUUUAUUUCAGCAGCAUUGUCGACAUAGGGAAAAAAAAUUGGAAGCUGAAACACUUAACACCACACUAACCCCUGUUCCCUUGAUACCCUCAUAACCUCUUUUCAGUCUCUCUCUCGUCUCUCAACUCCCUCUCUGUGAUCUCUGUGAAUCCACCUGUCCCCAUCGUGAAAGGGCACUCGUUAACCGCCGGUUGUUAAAGCUUCUGAAGGCAAUGUCUCCAAAUCUAAUGGGGAAGACAGUUGUAUCAAUGCCAGACGAAAAGAGGUUAGCAAAACAGUCACUUAUGACAUAUCUCGCUCCUAUUAGAAUUGAAGAUAUUGCACUGCUUAUUCUCAGGCUCAGGCGAAAAGAUCUAAGGACUGCUGAAAGGAAGCAAAGAGAUAGCAGGGCAUGUCCUAUUGGAAGAUUCUGGACCCCCCCAUGUUGUCUUUCCCAUCCUUUCCAGUAACUCGAGAGGAGCCGUGCCUCAUGAGCAGGGGAUCAUUUCCCAGGAUGGUACCACACAGGGUAAGGUCAGGAUUGGAUGGAUUCUAGGGACCUCUGUUUUGGGAAGUUUGUGGCUUCAUCGAAAUGACCAACAUGCAGACCUACCAUAUAUUGCUUCACUGCAGAUAAGCAAUUGCUUCAUUUCUUCAUUGUUCAAUCCAUGUUGGCUAGAAAUACAAAAAUCUGUAUGUGGAAGCAAAAUGAUCAACUUCUUUUCUUGUAUGCGAGUCUUUAGCUCAAAUAGGUAGAGCACUUGGGAGAUUCCUCAAGAGAUGGUGGUUCAAAUCCAUCAAGACUCAUUGAAUUUUCUUACAUCUAGUUUUCUUGAUGGGCUGAUCCCAUUAAGUUGAGAUAAGGUUAUGGCAUUGUUGUGAUUAUUGAUCUUGAACCCAAGACCUCACGGUAGGAUAGGCUUUAAUGCUUUACACUA